rnacentral:rRNA from 1 species
UACGUAGGUGGCGAGCGUUGUCCGGAUUUACUGGGCGUAAAGAGCGCGCAGGCGGUCGUUCAAGUCGCGUGUGAAAGCCCCCGGCUCAACUGGGGAGGGUCACGCGAUACUGAUCGACUCGAAGGCAGGAGAGGGUAGUGGAAUUCCCGGUGUAGUGGUGAAAUGCGUAGAUAUCAGGAGGAACACCAAUGGCGAAGGCAGCUCGCUGGGACGGUACUGACGCUGAGGCGCGAAAGCGUGGGGAGCAAACAGG